AACAAAUUGCACAGUCACCCUGUGUACAGAGGCCAUCACAUGCUCUCUGAUCAUGUUCUUACCGGGUGUAUUGAGCACGUGGUGCGGCUGGAGGAGGUGGAGUGGGAAGGGAAGGUGACUUGUCCACACUGACACAGUGAGUAAGUGGCACAGCCACUGAAGGGAACCCAGAACUCUGACUCACAAGCUACUCUUUCCUGACACCACCCUGCUGAAAGGUGUAGGAGGAACAGGAUGGGUCAUGGACAGCACAUGAGGGCCAAAUGUGAGUGAUUCUGCUCUGUCUUAUGUCCCCACCAUAAUACGCCAUCUCAGGCCCAAAGCCAUGGGGCCAACUGAUCAUGGACCGAAGCCUACAAACCUAAAUUGAGGAUGGAGACAGAGCCGCCUUUUGUUACCUGUUGUGACUAGCAGUGGUCCAGUGGUCAUAGGCACACUGCCUAUGAGGAAACUGAGGCUCAAGAAAUUUGAGUCAAGUUCCCAAGAGAAACAUCUUACAAGCAGAGAUGGGAUUUAAAGAGAGGUUGCUUCUAACUACUGGGCUCUACUACCAGCCAAUGAGACUUGAACAGUUAUCACUGAAACUGACCCUCAUUUUCUAAGGGUCAGGGAUGGACUGAGAAAAAUGGUACUUGGAAUGUAGACACCAGGAUGCACUGAGGCCCCUACCUUGCACAAGAGAAUUGUGGGCACUCUCGUGUCCCUCAGUAAUGGGCACUUGACUUGUCUGAAUGGCUUACAUGCAGCCCAAAUGGCAGGCGCUGGGACUGCCGGCACAACUGCUGUCGGGAGAAGGUCUGUCCCUGUGCCACCCUGGCAACAAUGGACCAGCCUAUCUAGAAUCUUCUCUGCUGGCCAAGGCACUCUGCAACAUGAAGCGGCAAAGAGAGUAAAAGUGCUGAGCUUCUGCCAUAAAUCCAGUGCUGCACAGCGCCCCAUCCAUUUGGACCACUCACUGUCCAUCCUCUGUGGCAGCGGUCAUAGCCACUGUGCUGAUAGACUCUGUUUGCUACUCUUGAUUGAGUCUGAGUGACCUCCUGAUAAAGCUUUCCUUUAGGCCGCAAAGUGCGCAUCUCCUUUCCAUUUCAAUCAUCUGCAUCAUAAGUGUUUUCCACUUAAUGAGCACACACAGCCAUGAACAAUCCAGUGUGACUUGUAGCACUGUUAUCACGAGCAUCAGUUGGAAGGAUGGCCAAAAAAUCUCACCUGGAAAAGCACAGGACAGUGAGCAUCUGUGCUCCAUGCACCCAACUGCACCGAGACCCUUCUGCACUAAUGAGCAGGGCAGGCAGCUUGCUCCAGCACAGCUCAGUCACCCUGCAUUCCCCAGGCAAGGUGCUGCUCCCAUCAGGAGCUAAAGUCUUCCUGGAAAAGGAGAGCUGCUUUUCUCUCCCUGUUGGCCACCGCCCACUGGAGAGGUAGAAAUUGUUAAAGAUAUGUUUAUCAUAGUCCCUGCCCCAGUAACAAAUCACCUAAUGUGAAAUGCAGGGACAAAACAAGUAUGUAAAGAACUUUCAGGAAACUAAACAAGUAUGAUAAAAAUCUUUGGAUUAUAUACAGGCAAAAGGAAACUGCAUUUUCUGACAAAUGAAUACAAGUUGUAAGUGAGCCUUUGGGGGAGGAAUAACCAUCUUUCCUCCAAAUUUCCAGAAACUUGGUGAAGAAAUUUUUUUAAUCCUUACACCCUAAUUAGUUUAGUAACAAAUGAUGAGCAUAGUCAAGACUGUUGAAAGUAAGAGAAACAGAACUCAAAUAAAGGGCAAUAUAUUUAUUCAUUAUCUAAAAAUAUUCAGAACAGUUCCAGAUAUUCAAACAAUGUCUUCAGACUUAUUCUACAGGCUUCUGUUUUGCCUUCCUCUCCCAAUUUCAUUCUCAAGAAGGUAAUCCUUUUUUUAUUUUUUUUAUUUUUUUUGACAAGAUGUCCAACAGAAGUUCUGGGCUAAUUUUCUGGAGCCAAGAAGAGAAUUUCUCUUUUCCAGUACAUAUAGCCUAGUAGACGCCAACCGUAGGCUCACAGCCUCGCCUCUGACAGUCUCCUCAGUAACAUCUGCUCACUCCUGAAGCAUCAGCCUACUGAACCCUCUUGUUGGCCACUUAUGAACCUUGUGAUCUGUCC
rnacentral:lncRNA from 1 species